CAGGCCUUGACAUCCAAUGAACUUUCUAGAGAUAGAUUGGUGCCUUCGGGAACAUUGAGACAGGUGCUGCAUGGCUGUCGUCAGCUCGUGUCGUGAGAUGUUGGGUUAAGUCCCGCAACGAGCGCAACCCUUAUCGUUAGUUGCCAACAGGUAAUGCUGGGAACUCUAGCGAGACUGCCUGGGUUAACCAGGAGGAAGGUGAGGAUGACGUCAAGUCCGCAUGGCCCUUAUGUCUGGGGCUACACACGUGCUACAAUGGUCGGUACAAAAGGCAGCGAAACCGCGAGGUGAAGCAAAUCCCGAAAGCCGGCCCCAGUUCAGAUUGUAGUCUGCAACUCGACUACAUGAAGAUGGAAUUGCUAGUAAUGGCGAGUCAGCAACAUGGGCCGUGAAUACGUUCC
rnacentral:rRNA from 1 species